AGAGUUUGAUCAUGGCUCAGGAUGAACGCUAGCUACAGGCUUAACACAUGCAAGUCGAGGGGCAGCAUUUUAGUUUGCUUGCAAACUAAAGAUGGCGACCGGCGCACGGGUGAGUAACACGUAUCCAACCUGCCGAUAACUCGGGGAUAGCCUUUCGAAAGAAAGAUUAAUAUCCGAUAGUAUAUUAAAACCGCAUGGUUUUACUAUUAAAGAAUUUCGGUUAUCGAUGGGGAUGCGUUCCAUUAGUUGUUGGCGGGGUAACGGCCACCAAGACUACGAUGGAUUGGGGUCUGAGAGGAAGGUCCCCCANAUUGGAACUGAGACACGGUCCAAACUCCUACGGGAGGCA
rnacentral:rRNA from 1 species